rnacentral:lncRNA from 1 species
GAAAAUAAAGGCCUUCUUGUUUUAUUUUUCCAUAUUAGGAUACAAAUAGCCAUGUCUAUAGACAUGGAAAUGACAUAAGUUUGAAGGCCCUAAUUUCCAAUUCAGAGUAUAUGUACUCUGAAAUUUUACAUAUAAUAAACACACAAUAAUUAAGCACGUACAUAAUUAAGAUACUCCACUGCUGGCUAUCAAAUUUUAUUCUAGUUGUAAUGCACCUACCACCACAGUUUGAUCAGCAAGCAGAGCGAGCU